rnacentral:rRNA from 1 species
UACAGAGGGGGCAAGCGUUGUUCGGAAUUACUGGGCGUAAAGGGCGCGUAGGCGGCCUUCUAAGUCAUGCGUGAAAUCCCCGGGCUCAACCCGGGAACUGCGUUUGAUACUGGAGGGCUUGAAUCCGGGAGAGGGAUGCGGAAUUCCAGGUGUAGCGGUGAAAUGCGUAGAUAUCUGGAGGAACACCGGUGGCGAAGGCGGCAUCCUGGACCGAGAUUGACGCUGAUGCGCGAAAGCCAGGGGAGCAAACGGG